CUAAGGAUUUCUGUAAGAGGAAAGAAGUAUAAAAGCCUUAAUGUCUGUUGCCUGGGAAGCACAGAUUGUUAUCCUCUGCCCUGACACCAAUAGGCACUUCAGAUAAGGAAACAGAGGCAGAGAGAGUUUAAGCAACUUACCCAAGGUCACACAGCAGGAAGUGGCAGAGCUGGAUUUGAACCAGAGAGGCGACUCCAGAGCCCAUGCUCUUCCCCAGUCGGCUCUGCCACCUUCUAGGCCUCCAAAGGGAAUGACAAUGUCUUCCCGGGAAUAACAUAGAGAUUUCUCUGGGAGGUAAGAGGAUGGCGCAGGACUCAGAAGUCUGAAGUGUGGGACCCAGAACACCCAGAUCAGGUGGGAGGCCUGUGGUGGCCUAGAGUGCUGGCUGUCCCCAGGUGGCCAGGGUGGAACCAGCUCCGCCGCCCUCUUCCCGGGGUGAGGGCUGUGUCAUUUGCUCCCCCCUAAUCCUCCAAGCCUGCGGCCCAGCCCCAGGCCUCCAAACCCAAGACCACCCAGUUGAGACUGGAAGGAAAACCUGCCCUUGUAAGUGGAAUCAGGUGAAAUCUGGCUGCAAAUUAGUCUGUCAGAAACCAAAAGGCUGUGUCACAAGUGUGGCCAGUGUGGCUGUCACUGUCAGCUGCAUGGAAAUGACGGAGAUGAGAGGGACAGCGUCUGUCCAGAGGGGAGCUAGAGGAGGGAAUGUCGUGGACGAUGGAAGGAGGACAGGCCUGCUGCCAGCAGACAUGUCGUCCGCAGAGAACUGGUCCGGGACGGGGAGAUGCCCCCGCGGUGGGUAGCCUGUGGUCUGAGGCCAGAACGUCGGACACACAGGAGCGAUUGGUGGUCUCCUGGGAGCUGGGGGGGCAUCUUGGCCAGAUGGUGGGGUCCUCAGAGGCUCAGCCCCUUUGUGUGUGUGUGGGGGGGGGGGUGAUGGCCCUCUGCCCUGUCCCUCUGAAGGUGGCCAUAAGGGAGGGAAGCCAAAGAGCUCAGCGUUGGACAGACUGGGAAGCGAGUCCCACUUCCCUCCAGGCCGGUGACUCUGCACCUCAGUUUCUCCAGCUGUCAAGUGGGGCUAAUAUCAACCUAUAUGGACUGCCUGCUGGUGCGAGGCCCUAGUUAAGCACCUUUAAUUCCUAGGGGCGGGGACUUUAUUAUCCUCAUUUACAGCUGAGAAAACAGAGGCACAGAGAGGUUAAGUCACUUACCUGGGGUCACACAGAUGCUGUCUGUGGUUAGGACUCCAGACUAGCCGGGAUCAAGUGGAGCCCUCGGCACCGUGCUGGUGGCCUGGCAGGUGCUCGGGAACGUCAGGUGCUGUUUGCGACCCUAAUCACUGCUGCUGCCACCAAGAGGACCAGGAGUGAGACCACCGUAUCUGCCUCUGAGGGCCGUCGUGAGCGGGAAGCGAGGUGACGCACGUAGGACCCAGUGCACUGGCUGCGGCCAAGUCAGCUGACGGCGACCCCGUGGCAGCAGCAGGAGCAGCUCUUGCUGAGGGUGUCACAGCGGCUUCUGCCUGUUCUCCGGGCCGAGGGCCUGCCUGCCAGCUCCUCUGAGCCUGGUCCCGAGUGCGGGUCCGGGGUGGGGGCGGUCUGGGGUUCUUGGGAAGGGGCGGGCGGGCCCAGCUCAGGCCUCCCUCGGGGGCCUGUCCCCCACAGCCAUGCCGGGGGAGCCGCUCCUGGUGGGCUCGGGAGAAUGCCGGGCUGAGCGGCCACAGGCCAAGUUCCUGCCGUCCGGUCUGUGCCCCCAACCCCAGCCCCGCUGACUUGCAGGCUGCUGGGCAAACACUGGAGGUGGUGACUUCUCAGGCUCUAGUGGGCACGGCCCUCCUCCUGCCCCACCCCCUCCCCCCGGCCUCACUGUGGGACAAACGGCAUCUGGUCCAACACACCCACCACCGGAUGUUUCCUGGUACAGAGUUUAUCAAAUCGCAGGUUGUGAUGCAUGAGUGGGUCUUGAAAUCAAUUUAGAGGGUGGAGCCCUGCACUUAAACUCUGCAAUAGACCAGAAUAGAAUAGAUGAGGAAAUAUCAGAGCGCGUGGCGUGCAGUGAAGGGGGGUUUGGGGAAACUUCUGCUUUGUUUUCACAUAAAUAGGCGUGUGAGUGUGUGGAACACCGUGUGACGUGUUUCCUACUGCGGUUAUGUUAAAAAAUGAUUGACAGACUGUCUCAUGGCCUUCGUGUCACACAAAGUGUGACACUUGUGUGACUAAGUGUGACACUUAGUCACGCCGGGGCCCAGCAGGUCUGGGCUCUGUUGAUUGCGGGGAGGAGACUGUAAAGCCUGGAACAUGAAGGUGGGAGAGAAUGGGUCGCGGGAGAUGGCACCCGGGCCGGUGCAGCAAUGAGUCCCCGGGCCGCCCCCCCUCUUCCCUCCCUGGCUAAGCCGCUCUGCCCCGUUGUCACUUCUCUGCAGCCCGGGUCCCCGCUUUCUGCUCUUCCCAGCGCCCAUCAGUUCAGAUGUUACCACGGUGACUUCCGGCUCUUGCUUCUCUUCUGUGAGCCUCCCUGGAGCGCCGGCUCCCCCAGGACGGGAGCCCGUUCCCCGAUGCACCCCAGCUCGAGCCCAGCGCGGGGCACGGUAGGGACUCACGUGUUGGGAGGAUGUCUGGGGUGGGGGGAGGUCUGCCGCGCAGGGGUGAGCCCCAGAGAGCAGCACGGCAGGGGGAGGGGCUCCUCUUUCAGAAAGUCCCCGAGUCCCCCGGCCCCGCCCACCACGUGCCCCCUGCCUGGCUUCCUGCUGCCGCCCCUGCGUCGCCCCUGAGGGUCCCAGCUGCCAGGCUGUGUGGGAGGCCCAGAGACUGGAGGGGCUGGAAAUGAAUGCCCCGGGGGGCCCAGGCCUGAUGGAGUUGGGGCCACGCCCAGGUCUCUUGGCUGCGGUGCCUGUUUGUGCUGCGGGCUCCCCGGCGGGACUGGCCUCUUGAUUCCCACGGACGUAACUUGCUGGAGGUGGGCACACGCCCCUUCCCAACAACCUCAGGCCCAUCUUCUGACUGCGCUCUGGGGCUGGACUCCACGGGCUGCAGACAACCCCUUGGCUGGUUCCCAGAGGAACAGGCGGAAUGCUCGUGGCCUCCGUCCCUGUCUGGUCUCCCUGCCCCACACCCCCGACCGGUGUUGUUUGUGAUCACCCCCCAGAGGAAAUCCUUGGACUUGAAGCCUUGCCUCAGGGUCGGCUUCUGGAGAAACCAAAACAGAGACAGAGGAUGGAGGGCUUUCUUCUGGUCUGUGUUUACAUUCUGUGCAUGCGAUGCGUGUAUGUAUGUAUAGCCCACGUGACCCUGCUGAUCAGAGGAGGCCACGAGUCCGGAGGGUGAGCCCUGGCAUCGGUCCACUGCUCUCCAUGGCAACCUGGCUGAUACCUGUUUAUAAAUUACAUCCAGUGAAUUCUGAAACGUCUCACUGAUAGAACAUGGCCUGUAAGAAGAAAGAACACCCUUGCAAACCUGAUCAAAUCUCCCAUGCGGUCCUGACGUCGCUGGUGGACGGAGGGACUAACAUCCAGGUUUGCAGAGGACCUUGUACUGGAGGUUGGCAUUGAGGACUCCAGCAGGACAAGAGCACAUUUUUUCCCAUCCCAGUGAAGGAGAAAUUGAGAAGGCAAGAAGCCUGGCUGGUGGCAGUCCCUGGAGUCAAUGAGGUCGGUAGGCUCUGGUCACAGCAAGAAAGGGCUGAGCCCCGAGCAAGUGCCGGGUAACCAGAACACAGAAAUAUGCCUCCAUCCCAGCUGCGGGCAUUGCACAGGGCCGUGGGGCUCAGUGGCUUCUCUCUGGGCCCUUGUGAUUACUGUGCUUAGCAUGGGUCCCCUCCCCGCCUCCCCUGAGGUCCUGUCUGCACACCUCACUGGCACUGAGGAUUUCAGACUGUCCUUGCCCUGGGUGAUGACCAUAGGGUGAAUGACAACAACUCCCAUCCCUGUGAUGCUACGUUAUGUGAAUGUGUGGAUGGAUGUGUGCAUUUAGGAAACAUGUGCCUUAUAACCGCUCUAUGAUUAUUAUCUCCACUCUACAGAUGAGGAAACCGAGGCUUAGGGUAAGAAACUUGCUCAAGUGGUGGGAUUGGGAUUGGAACCCACGUCUGGCCUCAGAUCCCUGACUUGUAACCUCUACCAUAGCCCCAAAGGUCCUUCCUGUCUUUAGGGUCUGUGGUUCACUGGCCCCUCCUUACAUCCCCAGUGAAGACAAGCCUGGCCUUUGUGUGCCUGGUCUGAGGGCAAGUCCUGGUUUUCUGGAAGGUCAUUUGGUGUCAGGACAGAAGACAGACAUUCGGGAGUCUGAGCACUAAUUUUCCUGGUUAUUCUGAAAAGGUGCAGUUUUCUCAUUGAAGACGGCCCAGAGGUCUGAUCUGAUUGUGGGCUGGUUUAAAAGUGCUUGCUCUGACCUCCAAGGGCAUCUGCUGAUUGGCUGUCCAGCCACUCAGACCCCGCCGUGCGCCUGCGCUGGGCUAAGUGCUGCAUGAGGGUUUAUUCAUUUGAUGCUCACAGCAGUUCUGUUUUAUUUCUAAAUUGGGAAACAGGCACAGAGCAGUAAUUAAGUUCAUUAGUAAGUGAGAGGGCUGAGAUUUGAACCCAGACUGCCAGGUGCCGGGGUCCAGGCUUCUAACUACUAUUCUGUGUGGCCCCCAAAAGAGCCCCAGGCUGCAAGUGCAGGGACUUUUGUGCGGGGGCAGGUGGAGCCUGUUUCUCUAAGGGUCCUGCAGGGCCCACUGGGAAGGGCGGGUUGGCCGUGACUGUCUCUGCCGGGAGCCCCAUCCCUGACCCCUCCCACGAUCUGCUUCUUCUCCUUCAGGACUCAGGUCCAAUGUCCCCUCCUCAUUCCCUGAGUCCCUAUUCAGGUACACCCCCGCCCGCCACUCCAUCCCUUCAGCCUGGUUAAAGUUCUUCCCAGUACACGUCUCACUCUCUGGAAUUGUCUGCAGGGUUGCCUUGAUUUCUUGCUCAUUGUCUGUCUCCCGUCACGAGGGCAAGGUCUGGGCUGCAUCCCCAGGGCCUGGAACUGUGCCCGGCACAGAGCAUGGGCUCCCCAGCGCCUGUGGGAUGGAUGACGUGCGCGCGGAGAAAUCCCCAAGGUCACCCCCAACCUGCUCACUCGACAGAGGACGCGUGCCCUGCCCCCCCGGCUGCACUGCCACGUGGACACACGUCCUGGGCACAUAUGACACAGGUCAUCAUGGACCCUCCAGCAAGAACGAAGCCGUCUGUGCCCAAGACUCAGCUCAGCCUCCAGAUCCUACUGCCUGUGGACGUCCCAAACCAACCAACCGCGGCCCUGCGCCCCUCAGAGGGACACUGAGCGGGGAGGUGGCGCGUGGACAGGACCCCUCCACACACACCUGUACUGGGGGGGAUGGAACAUAAACGGGGGAGGGGCAUGGCUCACCAUCCCCAGCCAGGACGAUGUUCAAUCCACCCCAUUUCGCGUGGCUUUUCUCCUCUGGAAAAAGUCCUGACAUCUCUUUUUUUUGGCUCUUUUAGUCUGAGGAGAGAUGAUGAGCCACGAGCUGUGGUGGAAUAAAAACCUGGGAGAUUUGCUCCCUCGUCACCUCCUGAGCUCAAACCAGGUGGCGUCCUUAGGGGCUGACAGUCGGUGGCGUUGAACAAAAGUGUCAUGGUCACAGGAGGAAGCUUUUCUCCCAGGAGGGGACUGUGGGGAGUUUGUGCCCAUGAAGUCUUGGCUGGGGAGUUGCUUUCCUAAAACCUACUUUCCUAAAACUCUA